CCGAGUUUACAACUCCCAAACCCAAUGUGAACGUUACCAAACUGUUGCCUCGGCGGGGUCACGCCCCGGGUGCGUAAAAGCCCCGGAACCAGGCGCCCGCCGGAGGAACCAACCAAACUCUUUCUGUAGUCCCCUCGCGGACGUAUUUCUUACGGCUCUGAGCAAAAAUUCAAAAUGAAUCA
rnacentral:misc_RNA from 1 species